UGCAGUGUUGUAGACUGUGAGCAGGAGAAAGGGCAAGAUUCCAGAACUGCUCAGUGGACAGUCCAGAGGAAGGGUGUGGGUACACCACGCAGGAGGUGUCAGACUUAGAGGUAGGGCAGGCAGAAGGUACAGAGAGACUGGUGGGAGAGAGAAAGAAAAAAAGGAGUGUCCGAAUGAGAUCUCACUCCUUUUCCUCUAUCCUAUGGCAUGCAAGACCAGAGGUCCCCACAAUGCUGUGUGCAUCAUUUGCCCUGGAGGGCUUGUGAACUGCGGCUUGCUGGGCUGUGCUCCGAGAGCAUCACACACAGCAGGUCUGCCGUGGAGCCUGAGAAAUGGGGUGUCUAACAAGUGCUAAAUGUUGCCGAGGUUGCUGAUCAGAGGCGCGCACUUGGAGAGCUGCUGGCCUGCUGUUGAAUGUCCUGCUGCUGCCUGCUGUCUGAGAGAUGCUUGAACUCUUCAGGCAAAGCUGCUCCUGUGGUCUGCAGAGAUUGGCCUGAGAAGCUGAACAAAUAUCCAGCUACUUGUCUGUAUCAACAGUGACAGCAUUGCCUACAUGGCCUCCUCUAUGCCCUGGACCCUGAGUAACAGAUCCUCAGCCCCAAGUGACCACAGAUACCUGGAGCCUCUCUUUCACCAGAUCUCUUUGCCAUUUACCGAGGACUACAGUGCCGCUCCACUCACGCAGGUCCCAUUCCAGGAGUGAUUGAUGACCACUGGACACACACAGAUGGACG